rnacentral:lncRNA from 1 species
AUGGCUUGGCAACAAUUCGCUGGUACCAAGACUGGUACAAAUCCGGCUAGCAGGGCUUGUCAAAUUGCUGUUGGCAACGUUUUUAUUCAAGCCACAGCCAAGCUACCAGCCAAAGCCCAUGCCUCAGCUCUGGCCUCAGCCCAUGCCUCAGCUACAGCCCAGCUACCAGCCCAUGCCUCAGCCCAUGCCUCAGCUCCAGCCUCAGCUGAAAUGUCUCCUUUCUGGGGAAUCCGGCUGGCCUACAAAGUGCCCCCACCAAGAAAGCGACGUUCUCGGCCACUUCCUGGCUCCCUGAAGUCUGGCUCUGGAGCCCCAGCUCCAUUGUCAACUGCCCAGCCAGCGCUUGCCGGGUUUGCUCCGCUAAUGGUGUGGCUGACACCCAGGCUGACACCUGCCAGUGGCCCUCAGUCGGUGGACCGGUCGACACCUGCCAGUGGCCUUCAGUCGGCGGCCAGGUCGACACCUGCCAGUGGUCUUCAGUCAGUGGCCAGGUCGACACCUGCCAGUGGCCUUCAGUCGGCGGCCAGGUCGACACCUGCCAGUGGCCUUCAGUCGGCAGCCAGGUCGACACCUGCCAGUGGCCUUCAGUCGGCAGCCAGGUCGACACCUGCCAGUGGCCUUCAGUCGGCAGCCAGGUCGACACCUGCCAGUGGUCUUCAGUCAGCGGCCCGAUUGACACCUGUGCCUGCUCCUCGGUCGGAGGCCCGGCCGAGUCCUGUGCCUGCUCCUCGGUCGGAGGCCCGGCCGAGUCCUGUGCCUGCUCCUCGGUCGGAGGCCCGGCCGAGUCCUGUGCCUGCUCCUCGGUCGGAGGCCCGGCCGAGUCCUGUGCCUGCUCCUCGGUCGGAGGCCCGGCCGAGUCCUGUGCCUGCCCCUCGGUCGGAGGCCCGGCCGAGUCCUGUGCCUGCCCCUCGGUCGGAGGCCCGGCCGAGUCCAGUCCAACCCCCUCGGUCGGAGGCCCGGCCGAGUCCCGUGCCAAGUCCCGUGCCAAGUCCCGUGCCAAGUCCCGUGCCUGCUCCUCGGUCGGAGGCCCGGCUGAGUCCAGUCCCUGCUCCUCGGUUGGAGGCCCGGCCAAGUCCUGUGCCUGCUCCUCGGUCAUAG